CAUUCACGGAGAGUUUGAUCCUGGCUCAGGACGAACGCUGGCGGCGUGCUUAACACAUGCAAGUCGAACGAUGAACCACCUUCGGGUGGGGAUUAGUGGCGAACGGGUGAGUAACACGUGGGCAAUCUGCCCUGCACUCUGGGACAAGCCCUGGAAACGGGGUCUAAUACCGGAUACUGAACCACUUGGGCAUCCAGGCGGUUCGAAAGCUCCGGCGGUGCAGGAUGAGCCCGCGGCCUAUCAGCUUGUUGGUGAGGUAACGGCUCACCAAGGCGACGACGGGUAGCCGGCCUGAGAGGGCGACCGGCCACACUGGGACUGAGACACGGCCCAGACUCCUACGGGAGGCAGC
rnacentral:rRNA from 1 species